CGUAGGUGCGAGCGUUGUCCGGAAUUAUUGGGCGUAAAGAGCUUGUAGGCGGCUUGUCGCGUCUGCUGUGAAAGCCAGGGGCUUAACCCCGGGUCUGCAGUGGGUACGGGCAGGCUAGAGUGUGGUAGGGGAGACUGGAAUUCCUGGUGUAGCGGUGGAAUGCGCAGAUAUCAGGAGGAACACCGAUGGCGAAGGCAGGUCUCUGGGCCAUUACUGACGCUGAGAAGCGAAAGCGUGGGAGCGAACAGAAUU
rnacentral:rRNA from 1 species